GAUGAACGCUGGCGGCGUGCCUAAUACAUGCAAGUCGAGCGAACGGACGAGAAGCUUGCUUCUCUGAUGUUAGCGGCGGACGGGUGAGUAACACGUGGAUAACCUACCUAUAAGACUGGGAUAACUUCGGGAAACCGGAGCUAAUACCGGAUAAUAUUUUGAACCGCAUGGUUCAAAAGUGAAAGACGGUCUUGCUGCCACUUAUAGAUGGAUCCGCGCUGCAUUAGCUAGUUGGUAAGGUAACGGCUUACCAAGGCAACGAUGCAUAGCCGACCUGAGAGGGUGAUCGGCCACACUGGAACUGAGACACGGUCCAGACUCCUACGGGAGGCAGCAGUAGGGAAUCUUCCGCAAUGGGCGAAAGCCUGACGGAGCAACGCCGCGUAAGUGAUGAAGGUCUUCGGAUCGUAAAACUCUGUUAUUAGGGAAGAACAUAUGUGUAAGUAACUGUGCACAUCUUGACGGUACCUAAUCAGAAAGCCACGGCUAACUACGUG
rnacentral:rRNA from 1 species